rnacentral:rRNA from 1 species
CCCUUGUACACACCGCCCGUCACACCAUGGGAGUUGGUUUUACCCGAAGCCGGUGCGCGAACUGCAAGGACGCAGCCGACCACGGUAAGGUCAGCGACUGGGGUG